GUUGUUGUGGAGAAAUCAAUUGUGUGGAACGGGUUGUUGUGGGGUUGAGACCUUAUCAGCUCUCCUUACUCUUUACCUUUUUCACGCAAUGCACUUUCUCUUUAACAAGUCAACAUCAAUUUCUUUUGUUGUAAAAGGGCCGGCGGAAGGUGGCUUUCUUUUCGGAGAAAGUGUUUAUAGCCGUUGGUCUCUACAAUCGGAGAGAUUGAGGUCUGCAGCGUAGAUCCUUCGGGGUUAGAUACGUUGGUGCUAAGUUAUAAUCCUACAUAGACAACUUGUUGACUAUGUUCGAUCAUGUAGCUUACUCGCUAGCGCUAUUUUACCUAC
rnacentral:rRNA from 1 species